GUUUUAAUAAGGUUAGUAUCACACCUCAUGUAGCCUAGCCCAUAGUCCUAUAUGUUUUAAUAAGGUUAGUAUCACACCUCAUGUAGCCUAGCCCAUAGUCCUAUAUGUUUUAAUAAGGUUAGUAUCACACCUCAUGUAGCCUAGCCCAUAGUCCUAUAUGUUUUAAUAAGGUUAGUAUCACACCUCAUGUAGCCUAGCCCAUGGGCCUAUAUGUUUUAAUAAGGUUAGUAUCACACCUCAUGUAGUCUAGCCCAUAGUCCUAUAAGGUUAGUAUCACACCUCAUGUAGUCUAGCCCAUAGUCCUAUAUGUUUUAAUAAGGUUAGUAUCACACCUCAUGUAGCCUAGCCCAUAGUCCUAUAUGUUUUAAUAAGGUUAGUAUCACACCUCAUGUAGUCUAGCCCAUAGUCCUAUAUGUUUUAAUAAGGUUAGUAUCACACCUCAUGUAGCCUAGCCCAUAGGCCUAUAUGUUUUAAUAAGGUUAGUAUCACACCUCAUGUAGUCUAGCCCAUAGUCCUAUAUGUUUUAAUAAGGUUAGUAUCACACCUCAUGUAGCCUAGCCCAUAGUCCUAUAUGUUUUAAUAAGGUUAGUAUCACACCUCAUGUAGUCUAGCCCAUAGUCCUAUAUGUUUUAAUAAGGUUAGUAUCACACCUCAUGUAGUCUAGCCCAUAGUCCUAUAUGUUUUAAUAAGGUUAGUAUCACACCUCAUGUAGUCUAGCCCAUAGUCCUAUAUGUUUUAAUAAGGUUAGUAUCACACCUCAUGUAGCCUAGCCCAUAGU